UUUUGACUCUAUGUCUUAUUUGAAAUUUUUUUGCGAUUAAUAUUUUUAUUAUUACUAGAUGAUAAAAUAUGAAUAUUAUUUUAUACGUGACUAUUUUUUUAAGUUUUUGUAUAAAUUUUUUAAAUAAGACGAAUGGUCAAAG
rnacentral:pre_miRNA from 1 species